rnacentral:rRNA from 1 species
AUCAGUAUGAAACCUGAUUAUGAAGGAGGAUUUAGCAGUAAAAAGAAAUCAGCAAGUUCUUUUUAAGUCGGACCUAGGGCGCGUACACACCGCCCGUCACCCUCUUCAACUCAUUUCACCCUAUUUAUAAUAAAAUAAUUGGAGAUAAGAAGAGGCAAGUCGUAACAUGGUAAGUAUACCGGAAGGUGUACUUGGAAC